rnacentral:rRNA from 1 species
UGGGGAAUAUUGCACAAUGGACGGAAGUUUGAUGCAGCGACGCCGCGUGGAGGGUGUAGGCCUUCGGGUUGUGAACUCCUUUUUCUCGCGAAAAAGGCACAGUUUUGGCUGUGUUGAUGGUAGUGGGGGAAGAAGCGCCGGCUAACUACGUGCCAGCAGCCGCGGUAAUACGUAGGGCGCGAGCGUUGUCCGGAUUUAUUGGGCGUAAAGAGCUCGUAGGUGGUUCGUCGCGUCUGUCGUGAAAGCCAGCAGCUUAACUGUUGGUCUGCGGUGGGUACGGGCGGGCUUGAGUGCGGUAGGGGUGACUGGAAUUCCUGGUGUGACGGUGGAAUGCGCAGAUAUCAGGAGGAACACCGAUGGCGAAGGCAGGUCACUGGGCCGUUACUGACACUGAGGAGCGAAAGCGUGGGGAGCGAACAG